rnacentral:lncRNA from 1 species
UCAUUUCUUGUAGUUACCUUUAUACCUUAUAAAGCUUCCACCCUUGAGAACUCUUCAACAAUCAAAUCUUCUCUAAAUUACUAUUAGUUCCACUUAUAUUGAAGACAAGUUUUGAACCCUUGAUCUCAAUCUCGAAGACAUCUAUUUAACAAAAAGAAGAUUGAAAUUAUAAUAUAUAACCUUCAUUAGCUUUGGUGGAGAGCGAGAGCAGCAUCAAAAUGAAGGCUCACAAGGGGUUUGAUAAUAUGUUAAAGAGGAUUGCAGUGGUCUUACUUAUUGGAAUCAUAGCUUUUGCAUAUCAGAUCACCACUCCUCCGCCACCUAACCUCUGCGGUUCACCAGGUGGUCCGCCGGUCACCGGACCUCGAGUCACCCUCAGAGACGGUAGACAUCUAGCCUAUAACGAAUACGGCGUCACCAG